CCUGGGAAACAUCACUGUCCCAAAAUAAAUCUUUUUCUCCAUUUUCAGGAAGGAGAAUGCAGUAAGGAAAGCAAAAAUGACCAGACUCCAGGAGCAUGGGUGCAGGCAGCCAGCUGUUGCUGAAAACUGUCACUCCUCCAACUUUGAGCGCUCUGAAUACUCAGAGGUUUGUGGGAAAUGAAGACAUAUUGCAACUCCCUGACUUUUUCACUUGGGGCAGUCUCCAAAGCAUAGACCACAACAUCCCCUGAGUCUAAUGAAGAGGAAGACAAAUAAACAGAAGGCACAUGAUAAAAUGAAAGCUCCAUGAGAAUGGCAGACAAGCCGAAGUUUAACCAAGAAAGGAUGGACACGGUCACCAAGUUGGCGCUUGUCUUGAAAGUACCUCAAGAAUGCGCGUAAAACAAAAGCAAUACCUUCAUCUCACAGGCAGCAGCAGAGGAAGAAGGCUGUGUGCAUGCUUCUUUCAUGGCAGAGAGACUCUGAAGCAGAAAUAGCAUCCAGACUCCAAAGAUGACUUCUGGACUCUCUCUGAGAAACCAUCAUUCUUGUCCAGGGAAAAAGUGCAGCAGCUUCUACAAAAGCACAGAAACAUCCAGCUUUAAUACAGAAGAAGGCAGAAUGAUAGACAAAGCCACAAACUGAUGUUUGUGCCUGAUCGCAUGGAAACUCAUCAAGAUUUCUCAUUUUUGUAUCACAAAACUAAUGACAUUUGCACAAAGUUGGCACUGAAAUACCAAAAGAGAAAUUUUUCCCCACAGGAAAGCAUUAUAAAAUGUCACCUGCUUUCCUGCUCCUGCCAUUCAGAAUUUCUGAUCCACAGCAACCAACAGAACUGCUUCAGCAGGAACCAAUGAAGACCUCUUUAACAGUCCAUAUUUAGCACCAGUGUGGAAAGGAAAAAGCCCCAGGAUGAUGAAUAAGAUGGUGGGUAUUACAGUAGCUAAAGGCAUAGACAGAAUUCCAGGAAACUUCGGGAAAACAGUUUCUAGGCCUUACUUAGAAAAACUGUUUGCCAAGUGCCUUAAAAGAAGCUCAAUUUGUGGACCGUGGCUGUUUACCACAGAUGACAGAAAAUCACAUUAGUUAAGAUCUAAUCUCUUCAGCUGAAUUUCAUUUCUGAGACCAAUAAUUCCUGUUCAUAUUUCUCCAGAGAAUUGCCAGGAGCCCUCAUGUGUAACAGCUGGGCAACGAGACAUAUUUUUUGGCUCAGGACACAGUUGCUACAUGAAGUUUUCUAAAUUGUAUUUCUACACAUGCAUUUAUCCAGAAAGAAACCAUUUCCUAUUCAAAACUGUUCUGUAAGCUACAGAUGUCCUAAAUGGAAAUAGUGUAUGCUAUCCGGAUAUCACUUCAUAGAGAUGCUGAUUCAGUCAUGUCAUUUAUGAACUGGCUCAUAUGUGGCCAGCCCGUAGCAUAGGCAGAACAGAGCAUAGGCUCGGCUUUACCUGUAUCUGCUUAUGUAGAUAUGCUUUGGCUCACAAGCGUGGUUUUGUUUUUUGUUUGUUUGUUUGCUGUUCUUUUUUUCCCCCUCAAGAUAAUUUUUAGAGCAAUUUAUCCUUGUAAAUAAAAUAGUAAACUUGAUCUCAGUUCACACAUACAGAUUCCAAAUCUUGAUGAAUCUCAUUUUCCAGUCACAAAGUCUAUGUGAGUACAGUUAUUCCACUUUCAGCACACAGCAGGUUGAAUAAAACCUUUAGUCAGACAUGAAUAUUUUAAGGUAUUUUUUUAAAUCAGACAAUAGAUGUUUUUAGUGUGGUUUAGAGAUAGC